UACGGAGGGAGCUAGCGUUGUUCGGAAUUACUGGGCGUAAAGCGCACGUAGGCGGCUUCUUAAGUCAGGGGUGAAAGCCUGGAGCUCAACUCCAGAACUGCCUUUGAUACUGAGGAGCUUGAGUCCGGGAGAGGGAUGCAGAAUUCCAGGUGUAGCGGUGAAAUGCGUAGAUAUCUGGAGGAAUACCGGUGGCGAAGGCGGCAUCCUGGACCGGCAUUGACGCUGAGGAGCGAAAGCCAGGGGA
rnacentral:rRNA from 1 species